rnacentral:RNase_P_RNA from 1 species
UGAGUCGGUCAGACGGCCGCGUCGGCGCCCUCGUGGCGUCGCCGAGGAACGUCCGGGCUCCACAGGGCAAGGUGGUGGGUAACGCCCACCCGGGGUGACCCGCGGGACAGUGCCACAGAGAACAGACCGCCUCCCACGACUCCGGUCGCGGGCGGUAAGGGUGAAACGGUGGUGUAAGAGACCACCAGCGGGCCAGGUGACUGGUCCGGCUAGGUAAACCCCACCUGGAGCAAGGUCAGACAGACUGUGUUGGAGGGCGGCCCGCCCGAUUCUCUGAUGAGAAGCACAGUCGGGUAGACCGCUGGAGGCGUGCGGCAACGUACGUCGUAGAUGGAUGGCCGUCACCCGUGCGGGGGCAACCGCGCGCGGGGACAGAACCCGGCGUACCGACCGACUCAUCCG